UUUACGGCAAGGCUUGCAUUCCCUUACGGCUCUCAGAAAAAGGAUGCGAUCAGUGGAAUAUUGCGCCUUUAAAAAAGAUGUGGGGCAAGCUAAUAGAGGCUGCAUGUGAACCAUCAGACUGGAACUGCCUUCUUGAAGCAAAGUGCGACGCCCUAGCAAUAUCCGACGCGAACACUGAUUGCUACAAAACAUAUAACCAGGAACACGGCGUCGAUACUCGAAAGCCUAGUGACCCACUUGAACCAAGUGGGGAUGUGGAACUACUCUGCUGUAUGUUAAAAUACAACAAGUAUUGCGUUCCGAAACUCCUAGAAGAAAAAGGGUGCCACCCCGACGCUGUUCUAC